rnacentral:rRNA from 1 species
UACGGAGGGAGCUAGCGUUGUUCGGAAUUACUGGGCGUAAAGCGCACGUAGGCGGCUUUGUAAGUUAGAGGUGAAAGCCCGGGGCUCAACUCCGGAAUUGCCUUUAAGACUGCAUCGCUUGAAUCCGGGAGAGGUGAGUGGAAUUCCAGGUGUAGCGGUGAAAUGCGUAGAUAUCUGGAGGAACACCGGUGGCGAAGGCGGCAUCCUGGACCGGUAUUGACGCUGAGGCGCGAAAGCCAGGGGAGCAAACGGG